rnacentral:rRNA from 1 species
CCUACGGGAGGCAGCAGUGAGGAAUAUUGGUCAAUGGACGAGAGUCUGAACCAGCCAAGUAGCGUGAAGGAUGACUGCCCUAUGGGUUGUAAACUUCUUUUAUAUGGGAAUAAAACGUUCCACGUGUGGGAUUUUGUAUGUACCAUAUGAAUAAGGAUCGGCUAACGCCGUGCCAGCAGCCGCGGUAAUACGGAGGAUCCGAGCGUUAUCCGGAUUUAUUGGGUUUAAAGGGAGCGUAGGUGGAUUGUUAAGUCAGUUGUGAAAGUUUGCGGCUCAACCGUAAAAUUGCAGUUGAAACUGGCAGUCUUGAGUACAGUAGAGGUGGGCGGAAUUCGUGGUGUAGCGGUGAAAUGCUUAGAUAUCACGAAGAACUCCGAUUGCGAAGGCAGUUCACUGGACUGCAACUGACACUGAGGCUCGAAAGUGUGGGUAUCAAACAGGAUUAGAUACCCGUGUAGUC